rnacentral:snoRNA from 1 species
GUUUGGAUUUAGACUACAACAUAGCUGUUAAGUGCUGUAUUGUCAUUCCCUCUGCUCAAAAUAAAGUUGUUUCUUCCAUCAAAAUCCUAGAGAAGAACACAGGCAACACCCUU